AAAAGAGCAGACCCAUAGACAUCUAUACCACUCCAUGGAACAUCUAUACGGCUAAAAAGCACACACAAAUACCUGCCAUAUCUAUAUGUCCACUUCUAUAUGGUACCCUUUACUUGUGCUAUUAUAACUUAAAAUAGAACAGUUAUACCAUUUCCCGGAACAUCUGUAGGAUUAAAGAGCACACCCAAAUACCUGCCACAUCUAUAUGUCCACUUUUAUAUGGUAUCCUUUACUUUUGCUGUUAUAGCUUAAAAUAGAACAGUUAUAUCACUCCUCGGAACAUCUGUAGGGCUAAAGAGUACACCCAUAUACCUGCCACUUCUAUCUAUCUACUUCUAUAUGGCAGCCUUGGAUUGUGUGGUUAUAGCUUAAAAUGGAACAGUUAUACCACACUCCGGAACAUCUAUAGGGCUAAAGAGCACACCCAAAUAUCUGCCACAUCUAAAUGUCCACUUCUAUAUGGUACCCUUUACUUGUGCUGUUAUAGCUUAAAAUAGAACAGUUAUACCACUUCUCGGAACGUCUGUAGGGUUAAAGAGUACACCCAUAUACCUGCCACUUCUAUCUAUCUAUUUUCAUAUGGUAGCCUUAGGUUGUGCGGUUAUAGCUUAAAAUGAAACAGUUAUACCACACCCCGGAACAUCUGUAGGGCUAAAGAGCACACCCAAAUACCUGCCACAUCUAUAUGUCCAAUUCUAUAGGGUACCCUUUACUUGUGCUGUUAUAGCUUAAAAUAGAACAGUUAUACCACACCUCGGAACAUCUGUAAGGUUAAAGAGUACACCCAUAUACCUGCCACUUCUAUCUAUCUACUUCUAUAUGGUAGCCUUGGGUUGUGCGGUUAUAACUUAAAAUGAAACGGUUAUACAACACCCCGAAACAUCUGUAGGGCUAAAGAGUACAUCCAUAUACCUGCCACUUUUAUCUAUCUAUUUCUAUAUGGUAGCCUUGGGUUGUGCGGUUAUAGCUUAAAAUGGAAUAGUUAUACCACACCCCGGAAUAUCUGUAGGGCUAAAGAGCACACCCAAAUACCUGCCACAUCUAUAUGUCAACUUUUAUAUGGUACCUUUUACUUGUGCUGUUAUAAUUUAAAAUAGAACAGUUAUACCACUCCUCGGAACAUCUGUAGGGCUAAAUAGUACACCCAUAUACCUGCCACUUCUAUCUAUCUACUUCUAUAUGAUAGCCUUGGGUUGUGCGGUUAUAGCUUAAAAUGGAACAAUUAUACAACACCCCCAAACAUUUGUAGGGGUAAAGAGCACACCCAAAUACCUGCAACAUCUAUAUGUCCAAUUCUAUAUGGUCCGCUUUACUUGUACUGUUAUAGUUUAAAAUAAAACAGUUAUACCACUCCUCGGAACAUCUGUAGGGCUAAAGAGUACACCCAUAUACCUGCCACUUCUAUCUAUCUACUUCUAUAUGGUAGCCUUGGGUUGUGCGGUUAUAGCUUAAAAUGGAAUAGUUAU
rnacentral:lncRNA from 1 species